AAAUAAGAAGCAAAUAUUGCAUUUAAUUUCGACUUAAAAAUAUGAGAAUAACUUCUCCUUAUUUA
rnacentral:tRNA from 1 species